GGGGUUGUGGCGCAAUGGCUAGCGCGUCGGAUUCCAGUCCCGAAGGAUGCCUGUUCGAGUCGGGCCAACCUCA